rnacentral:rRNA from 1 species
CACGUAGGGCGCAAGCGUUGUCCGGAAUUAUUGGGCGUAAAGAGCUCGUAGGCGGACUGUCACGUCUGCUGUGAAAAGCUGGGGCUUAACCCUGGCCUUGCAGUGGAUACGGGCAGACUAGAGGUAGGUAGGGGAGAAUGGAAUUCCCGGUGUAGCGGUGAAAUGCGCAGAUAUCAGGAGGAACAUCAGAGGCGAAGGCGACUGCCUGGCGAAACACUGACGCUGAGGUGCGAAAGCGUGGGGAGCAAACAGG